AGCCAGGCUUGCCAGCACUGCUCUGCUGGAAGCAUCCUGCAAAAGCCGUGCUUAUUUAUUUGCUUUUGUGAGCUUCAUCAGUUCUUCCAAUUUUCACCCUGAAAAUGAUCCUUCAAACUCAGCCGCUGGAUAAGACACCCUGAAAUGGACAUGCCUAAUGUGAAACCUUCUCGGCCAUUCGUGGCUGCAGCCAGUGGAAAAAGGACUUCACCAUUGCUUAUAAACCAUGAAUCAGUGUCCGCCUUUGCUAACGGCUUCCUUGUUUCCUCAUCUGUAGGAUGAAGAUUUGCACUAGACGCUCUCUCAGGAGGCUUUUAAUGAUGAAAUUUUUGAAUUCUGUGGAUUGACAUAUUUUGGUGUGACAUGAAGCUCUCCUAUUGCACCAGUGAUUCAAAGAGACUCAUGGGAAAGAGGAGGCUCAAGACACUCAUCAGACAGAAGAAUGAGUGGAGAACUCAGCACUUGCUUCCUUUGCCACCUGCCAACAUCCAAUCAAAUUGUGAGGAGAAAUGGUUUUGGUUGGCAAAGCAUUUGUUCAAUG
rnacentral:lncRNA from 10 species